rnacentral:lncRNA from 1 species
UAUAUCUGACACACAAAUCCAGCAAAAAUAAAUUAUUCUAACAGAACCAGAUGCAUGCACACAUUGGAUUCAAAACAAAUGCAGUGUCUAGCCACAAACAUGUCAUUUAUCCUGAAUGAUAUUUUGUUUUCUUAACACGUCAAAAUAGUCCACUAACAUUAGCUAGUUAGUUGAUAUAUGUUAAACCAUAAUGAAUCUGAACAGUGUUUUGGUGAAUGAAGCUAUUAUCACAUGUUAUACCAAAUAUAUUUUGUUCAUAAAUGAAGUCAAUCAAACCUGACAAGACAUACUUAAUUUGCAACUAUCACACCACCGAGAAUAAUCUAUUGUAUUUAUUUAAACAAAGUGAAAUAGAUCAAUAGAAUUGUAACAGUAAGAUUCAGAAAAAAAAUCAGAGAACAACACAGGAAAAAGAAAAUUCCUACAAUAUCCAAUGCAAUGGUUCUGAUUUCUAUUCCAGUCAAUGGCUCCCGCAUAUUGCAUCACAGGAAGAACAAAUGAGGAAGAAUAUAGGGAAAAAGGACAAAGUAAUCUUUUUCAAACAAGGCCAGCAAUUUAAUAUUGAAGUGAGCUAGCAAUAUCAUGGACAUGCACAAACACAAACCAUCUAGUACAAACUAACAUGACAUUCAAACUGUUCUCUUGAUGCUCAACAGCAAAAAAUAGUGCAAGAAGUAGUGUCAUUGUUAAUAGAAAUGUUCUUGCCACACAGAUAUACAAAAAUUUAAGAAUUAAGUAUAAGUUUCAUGAAUUUAGUCAAACUUCAGAUUCCAACACAUCAUCCAAUCAUUCCAAUAUAGUUUUUUUAACUUUCAUGAGUGAGCAUUGUAAGGGCAUUUGACAUCUAGAAACCAGGUCAGGAUGUAGAGUCCAAACCUCAGUAAAACUCACAUAAGAAGAUAUUAUCAAAAAUACAAAGUGUACUGAAUUACUAUUUUUCCCACCCAAGUAUAAUAAAUAGUUCACUCUUAUAUUAGGUAUCUUGAAUAAGUUUUUAAAAGAUAACCAUUUACUCCUUGAAAAAUAAACAACAAAUUCCAAAUAUCUUAACAAUAAGAGGAAAGUUAAUCAAUAACUCAAUAUUUAACUGCUUAUCUUAAAAUACCAGAGCUUAAAAUGGAAAAAAAAUAAGAUUAAGAGGUCAUGACUUCAAUAUAAUUGAUUAUCAAUUAUCUGUCCAGCAACCAGUGAUGACACAAUUCAGUUCAAUGCUACUAUAAAAAGAUGAGCAUAUUAUCAACUUGAAAACCCGUAAAAUCAUACCAUUGCAAACAACAUUUACAGUGACAAUUGAUCUCAACUAACAUCCAAUAUAUUCAAGAGCUUUAUUUAGUAAAGCUAGCUAGCAUCUUCACUUCCAUUUUGGUAUCAUAGUUAAUUCAAAUAUGAAGCUUCAAAAAAUGGUAUCAUGUGCAAGAGAAACUCCCUAGUAACAAAAUAAAAGUGACGGUUUCACUGUGCAAGAAUGGUGAAAAAGAAAACCUCACAAUCACAUACAAAAAAUAAUUCCUUUCAGUGUGUUGUGGCUUCUAGUUGAUUACUAGAAUACAGAAAGGGACUAAUGCAUUAAAUGAGAGACUAAAGGGGAGAACUGAAGGGAAUCGCCCCCAAGUUUAUGAUCAUUCCAAAUUUCCAAACAUACAGUAACCAAAUAAAAUGAAAAACCACACAAAAGGAAGAGAUUAACAAGUUAACAGCUUCAGUAAGUAAAAUUCAAUCAAGUAAAGACACUCCUCAUGGUUGAAUCUUCAAAACAUUAAGUCCCCUUACAAGUAGCAAAUAAUAAUAGUACUUUGGUCACAUACGUACUCAUCAAAGAAGGAACAAAUGACAACAAAAUGAAAUAUUUUGUGCUCUUUCCAUCCUCAUUCUUGUAAGCAACCAUUAACAGAAUCAAUUAAAACUUUAAAACAAGCAAGUCACAUAUAAAAGGAUACACAAAUCACAAAUACACAUAAGAACAAGCCCUCAUGAACCAUCACACAGUCAAACAUAAUCACCAUCAGAACCACAUAAAGCAGCACAAUGACAAACUUCAACAGGCCACACCAAAAGUUGACAUUCUAUUCUAAACAAGACAAAACUCAACUCAUAUAUACAGUAAUCAAAA